GGAUUCCCCGGAAGCGCUGGCGCAUCGCGACGCCCCGAGUCGAGCUCGCUCACCGAUGGAAAUUCCGGCCGUCCAGCCGCACUACCACCCAGCAGUGUGCCAGGCAGGUGUCGUCAGCCUCGAAGUCCCUCACGUACUCGAACUUGCUUUUUGCCAUGGUCGCCCCCAAUCUCAGGUACCGUCUCAGAGUGAUGGAAAUGGUGGCCAAGGAAUCGUGAACCUUAACUUUACAGGCGCCCCACAUUCUACACGCGGAAAGGAAAGGGCCAGAUAGCCCCGCCCCGGAAGUGUUCUCUUCGCGGCUACUCUAGCCGUAGGGCAGUCAUAGUCUCUCUCGCCUCUCCCUGUAGUUCUUAACCUCCCAGGCAAAGAGGAUGGAGGUUUAGGUUCCUCCGUUAGCACCUUCCACGCUUGCUUCUUCCUCCUCCCGUCCUGCGGCAAAUCAGUCUCACGAGGUUUUUAAAAAUUAUUUUUUAUCUGCUGGUCUUGACUUACUGGCAAAAGCAAUCAGUGUCCCCGUUAGUGCCCAGAUCAAAAUCAUACCCCAACCUAAAAAAAAAAAAAAAAAAAAAAAUUCUUUUUCUGGUGUUUGAAGGUGUAGCUGUGAUGUUUCCCCUUUUCUUAGUGGCAUUUAUUAACUUGUAGAAAAUCUGGAAUACACCAAAACUAUAGUUAAGAAAAUUAACACUUUGUUUCUCCGUCUUUCCCAUCAAAGCAUUGUGGAUGGUUCCUUUCAGUCUUUUUUCUUUUUGUGUAUGUAGGUUUACACAGGGAAUGCACAAGAUUGGAAUUAUUCGCCUAUACAAUGUUUAUAUAUUUUUCCACUCAGCUUGAGCAUUUGCCAGUAUCAUCAAUUAUUCCAAAGUGUGAUUUUUAAAAGAAAAAUGGACUCAAUAUUCCAACAUAUGGGUAUACUAAAUUGAUUUAUUCAACUUUUUCACCAUUAAAUAAUCACAGAACCAGUGUUUGAUAUCUUGUUGCUGGUGGAUAAUAGUAAAAAUAAAAUCCUAAUAUUUGUGUCAUACUUUGUGAUUUACAAAGCUCUUUCAAAUUCAUUACCUACUUACUUACUUUUUUUUUUUUUCCAUCCUCAAGAAAGAUAUUCAGGCCAGGCACGGUGGCUGACGCCUGUAAUCCCAGCACUUUGGGAGGCAGAGGCAGGAGGAUUGCUUGAGUUCAGGAGAUUCAUACCAGCCUUGGCAACGUAGCAAGACCCCUGUUCCUACAAAAAAGAAAAAAAAUUAUCCAGGCUUAGUAGCCCAUGCCCGUAGUCCUAGCUAUGGGAGGAUGAGGUGGGAAGAUACUUGAGGCCAGGAGUUCGAGACUGCAGUGACCCAUCAUUAGCCACUGCACUCCAGCCUUGGUGACAGAGCAAGAAUCUGUCUCUAAAGAAAAAGAAAAAUAUUCAAACAAUAUAAAUCCUUUUAUAUGUAGCAAAAAGUCUCUCACUGACUCCUAACAACAUACUUUAGGCAGUUACUGUUACCAGUUUUUUGUGUAUCCAUACAGGGAUCUAUAUCAGUAUGUGUGUAUAUCCUCAUAAUAGUACCACAAAUGGUAGUCAUCACUCCUUUGAUGCUCAGAGUAACAUCAGAGGGAUGCAAAAGAGGAACUGGGAUUUCACCUUUACAAAGGGGAAAUCUGAGACUCAAAGAGAAAAAAAUAAUUUACAUAAGGUCACAUAUGUGGCAGGACCAAGACAUAAAUUAUGACAUCCUGCAUCUUUUCUUUGUUUCUGUUGCUGUGAAGUCAGUUUUCUGUAGGUUAUCAUUCCUCACCUUUUACUUCCACAAACUCCUCUCUCCAAGCUGACCAGGAGACAACCAAAUCUUGCCUCCUCUAGGAGCCCUACUUUCAUUAGGUGAAUUUUUCAAAAUUACUUAUCAAUAUGAAUUCAUGAUUUUUAUUUUUUUUAUGUGUAUGUUUUCGAGACAGAGUCUCACUGUCACCUAGGCUGGAGUACAAUGGCAUGAUCUCAGCUCACUGCAGCCUAGACCUCUUGGGUUCAGGUGAACCUCCCACCUCCCUUCCUAGUAGCUGGGACUACAGGUGCGUGCCACCAUGCCCACCUAAUAUUUGUAUUUUUUUUUGUAGAAACAGGGUUUCCCCAUCCACAUCCCACACUGGGAGAUGAGACUCCUAUCAGGGAUGGGCUGAAUAUAAAAUAAGCCAAUUGGCUUUGGGUUGCUUUGCAGUGAAAUGCAUAGUAGAAGUACUACACUGUCUUCUCCCAUAGCAUCUAUAUGGUCUUUACAUAAAUUAAGCAUUAAAAUAACAGCAUAGCAAGGAGGUCUUAAGAUGCUAAUCUGCCCUUUAGUAAAAGGGUUAUAAAAGGUUUGUAAAGUUUUCACCUCAUGGUCAAAUUGGUUAGGAUUAAAUGGAAUAAUCUAUAAGGUUUCAUGUAAAUGAAUUGGGGUUAACAUUAAUAAAUUAAUGCAAGGGUAAAAUUUUGCUUUGAACAAAAUUUUCAUGUCAUAGUAAAGGCUAAUGAAAGGUUUUUGCCUUUUGAGUCAUCAUUUUGGCAAAAUAAUUUAUGGCAAUCUGGAAAUUGUCCCUCCGGAUACCUGACUUUUUGGUUGGUUCAGAGGGCCCCAAAACAUUCAGAAAAGAGAUAAAUAGGAUCAUUUGACAUGUUUAGUCAUAAGAGAUUGCCAAAAUGAUGUCCAAUCUUCUUUAAGUUAUAUUUUGAUGAAUAAUACUAAUAUAUGUUCCAAAAUUGUAUGGGAUUUCUAAAAUUCUAAUGUCUAAGUAUAGCUAUCAAUCAUAUUACCCUCAAUCAAUUAAGGGUAAAGUUAUUGUAAACCAUGAAGAUAAGUAAACUUCGUCAGUCAUAUUUUUAACUAUCCUGGAAAUUUUUCAUUCACAGACAAUUGUUGUCUUGCUUUGUUCCUUCUCAAAAGAUGGUUUAUAAUCAAGCUAUGUGAAGGAAUUUAACAGGUGUUCUCAAAUGCAGGUUUUUAAUAGCUUUAAAGAUUGUAACAUUGAAAUAAAGAAUGUAGGGACUCAGAAAGAACUGACAUAUUGACAAAUGUCAAGCAAAAUAAAAGUUUACUAAGUGGACUACACUCAGAAAGUUAAAGCAACCUUUUUAACCUUUGCUUGGAAUAUUGUCGAUCUUUGUUUUGAUUUUCAGAGUCAAGGAAAGUUAUUUUAAACUAUUUAUGGACUUUAAUAAUUGAGUAAGUUAUACUGUGAAGAAAACUUGGAGCAUGUUUAUUUUUCUCUGCCUGGUUCCUCUAGAAUUUGGAAAUUAUCUGUGAGUACUCUUAACUUAUGGGAAUAUAGUUGUUCAUCUCAGUGCAAUCAGAAUCCAUUUUUCUUUGUAAACAGGACACAGUUGGAAAAACUGGUUAUUUUACCAGGGAUUUGACUGAAAGGGUGUGUUUCCCUUUAAGGAAUCAAGCUUGACAUGCAAAGCCAAUAAAAGCCCCUUGGGGAGAAAUGGCCUCAUACCUUGUCUGCACAGUCCCCACACAGGGUUCCUAACCUGUGGUCAGUAAAGAAUGUCACUUUCUAACAGGUCUGGAAGCUCUGAGUUUAUCUUGGGACCUCAAGAGGGGAGGAUCACCCAACUCACAGGUAUUAGAGGAUAAAAACCCAUGGCUGGGCUCAGCUUUAAAAGUCUUAUCUGAAGGCCAGGCACAGUGGCUCAUGCCUGUAAUUCCAGCACUUUGGGAGGCUGAGGUGGGUGGAUCACUUGAGGUCAGGAGUUCAAGACCAGCCUGGCCAAUAUGGUGAAACCCCAUCUCUACUAAAAAUACAAAAAGUAGCUGGGCAUGGUGGCAGGCGACUGUAGCCCCAGCUACCAGGGAGGCUGAGGCAGAAGAAUCACUUGAACCCGGGAGGCGGAGGUUAUAGUGAGCCGAGAUUGCACCAUGGCAUUCCAGCCUGGGUGACAGAGCAAGACUCCAUCUCAAAAAACAAACAAACAAAAGUCUUACCUAAAAUUCCUUGAGGAACAGAGUUUUAUCAAAGCCAAUCCAAAAGGCCUAUGUCAAAAUAACCAUUCUUGCUGCACUUUAGGCAAAUAAUCAGGCCAAGUAUAAGACUAAAGUUUAUUCAUAAUUAGUUUUUACCAAAAUGAGGACUGGAGAGAAAAACUUUGCUCCAAAGCUUAUCAUACAUUUGUCAUUAAAUCCUAGUCUCAUUAUUGUUUUUAAGCUUUUUGCCUACAAUUUAGCCCUGCUUACUCCUGUGAAUCAAGUGGUGAUCUUCUGCAGCUUGGGGAAAAAAAAAAGGGAUGGGUAACAUAAAAAUGUGAAUCAAUAUGCUAGUUCUGGGCAAUUAUCUUGCAAAUUCUGCCAGGUAAUGAAAGUGAGUAAGGUGCCCAUAACCUGGAGGUUUCUUUGUUUGCGAAAAUAAAACCAAGGAACUUCAUAGACCCCCAAAGGGGAAUUCUAUAUCUUGGCAAGUAAAAUUUUAGAUGGAAAUUACCUGCCACACCACACUUGUGGGAACUGCUGUCCUCACUCUACUAUUUGCAUUAGGGUUAUACAUGGUAGCACCUUCUUUUUUUUGUUUUAUUUUUUUAAAUUUUAACUGAUCCUUCUGAUAGAUUUUUUUAAAAAUUAUUAUACUUAAAGUUCUAGGGUACAUGUGCAUAAGGUGCAGGUUUCUUACAUAGGUAUACAUGUGCCAUGUUGGUUUGCUGCACCCAUCAACUCAUCAUUUACAUUAGGUAUUUCUCCUAAUGCUAUCCCUCCCCCAGGCCACUAUCCCCCAACAGGCUCCAGUGUGUGAUGUUCCCCACCCUGUGUCCAAGUGUUCUCAUUGUUCAGUUCCCACCUAUGAGUGAGAACAUGCGGUGUUUGCUUUUCUGUCCUUGUGAUAGUUUGCUGAGAAUGAUGGUUUCCAGCUUCAUCCAUGUCCCUGCAAAGGACGUGAACUCAUCUUUUUUUAUGGCUGCAUAGUAUUCCAUGGUGUGUAUGUGCCACAUUUUCUUAAUCCAGUCUAUCAUUGAUGGACAUUUGGGUUGGUUCCAAGUCUUUGCUAUUGUGAAUAGUGCCACAAUAAACAUAUGUGUGCAUGUGUCUUUAUAGUAGCAUGAUUUAUAAUCCUUUGGGUAUAUAUGCAGUAAUGGGAUGUCUGGGUCAAAUGGUAUUUCUAGUUCUAGACCCUUGAGGAAUUGUCACACUGUCUUCCACAAUGGUUGAACUAAUUUACACUCCCACCAACAGUGUAAAAGCAUUCCUAUUUCUCCACAUUCUCUCCAGCAUCUGUUGUUUCCUCACAUUUUAAUGAUCACCAUUCUAACUGGCGUGAGAUGGUAUCUCAUUGUGGUUUUGAUUUGCAUUUCUUUGAUGACCAGUGAUGAUGAGCAUUUUUGCAUGUGUCUUUUGGCUGCAUAACUGUCUUCUUUUGAAAGUGUCUUGUUCGUAUCCUUUGCCCACUUUUUGAUGAGGUUGUUUUUUCUUGUAAAUUUGUUUAAGUUCUUUGUAGAUUCUGGAUAUUAGCCCUUUGUCAGAUGGGGAGAUUGCAAAAUUUUUCUCCUAUUCUGUAGAUUGUCUGUUCAUUCUGAUGGUAGUUUCUUUUGCCGUGCAGAAGCUCUUUAGUUUAAUUAGAUCCCAUUUGUCUAUUUUGACUUUUGUUGCCAUUGCUUUUGGUGUUUUAGUCAUGAAGUCCUUGCCCAUGCCUAUGUCCUGAAUGUUAUUGCCUAGGUUUUCUUCUAGGGUUUUUAUGGUUUUAGGUCUAACAUUUAAGUCUUUAAUCCAUCUUGAAUUAAUUUUUGUAUAAGGCGUAAGGAAGGGAUCCAGUUUAGGCUUUCUACAUAUGGCUAACCAGUUUUCCCAGCACCAUUCAUUAAAUAGGGAAUCCUUUGCCCAUUUCUUGUUUUUGUCAGGAUUGUGAAAGAUCACAUGGUUGUAGAUGUGUGGUGUUAUUUCUGAGGGCUCUGUUCUGUUCCAUUGGUCUAUACAUCUGUUUUGGUACCAGUACCAUGCUGUUCUGGUUACUGUAGCCUUGUAGUGUAGUUUGAAGUCAGGUAGCGUGAUGCCUCCAGCUUUAUUCUUUUUGCUUAGGAUUGUCUUGGCUAUGCAGGCUCUUUUUUGGUUCCAUAUGAACUUUAAAGUACUUUUUUCCAAUUCUGUGAAGAAAGUCAUUGGUAGCUUGAUGGGGAUGGCAUUGAAUCUAUAAAUUACCUUGGGCAGUAUGGCCAUUUUCACAAUAUUCUUCCUAUCCAUGGGCAUGGAAUGUUCUUUCAUUUGUUUGUGUCCUCUUUUAUUUCGUUUGGCAGUGGUUUGUAGUUCUCCUUGAAGAAGUCCUUCACAUCCCUUGUAAAUUGGAUUCCUGGGUAUUUUAUUGUCUUUGCAGCAAUUGUGAAUGGGAGUUCACUCAUGAUUUGGCUCUUUGUCUGUUAUUGUUGUAUAAGAAUGCCUGUGAUUUUUACACAUUGAUUUUGUAUCCUGAGACUUUGCUGAAUUUGCUUAUCAGCUUCAGGAGAUUUAGGGCUGAGACGAUGGGGUUUUCUAAAUAUACAAUCAUGUCAUCUGCAAACGGACAAUUUGACUUCCUCUUUUCCUAAUUGAAUACCCUUUAUUUCUUUCUUGUGCCUGAUUGCCCUGGCCAGAACUUCCAACACUAUGUUGAAUAGGAGUGGUGAGAGAGGGUAUCCUUGUCUUGUACUGGUUUCAAAGGGAAUGAUUCCAGUUUCUGCCCACUCAGUAUGAUAUUGACUGUAGGUUUGUCAUAAAUAACUCUUAUUAUUUUGAGAUACGUUCCAUCAAUACCUUGUUUAUUUAAAGUUUUUAUUGAGAGUUGUUUAUUGAAAGUUUUUAGCAUGAAGGGCUGUUGAGUUUGUUGAAGGCCUUUUCUGCACCUAUUGAGAUAAUCAUGUGGUUUUUGUCUUCGGUUCUGUUUAUAUGCUGGAUUACGUUUAUUGAUUUGCAUAUGUUGAACCAGCCUUGCAUCCCAGGGAUGAAGCCGACUUGAUUGUGGUGGAUAAGCUUUUUGAUGUGCUGCUGGAUUCAGUUUGCCAGUAUUUUAUUGAGGAUUUUUGCAUCGAUGUUCAUCAGGGAUAUUGGUCUAAAAUUCUCUUUUUUGUUGUGUCUCUGCCAGGCUUUGGUAUCAGGAUGAUGCUGGCCUCACAAAAUGAGUUAGGGAGGAUUCCCUCUUUUUCUAUUGAUUGGACUAGUUUCAGAAGGACUGGUACCAGCUCCUCUUUGUAUCUCUGGUAGAAUUCGGCUGUGAAUCCAUCUUGUCCUGGACUUUUUUUGGUUGGUGGCUAUUAAUUGUUGCCUCAAUUUCAGAGCCUGUUAUUGGUCUAUUCAGGAAUUCAACUUCUUCCUGGUUUAGUCUUGGGAGGGUGUGUGUGUCCAGGAAUUUAUCCAUUUCUUCUAGAUUUUCUAGUUUAUUUGCAUAGAGGUGUUUAUAGUAUUCUCUGAUGACAGUUUGUAUUUCUGUGGGAUCAGUGGUGAUAUCCCCUUUAUCAUUUUUUAUUGCGUCUAUUUGAUUCUUCUCUCUUUUCUUCUUUAUUAGUCUUGCUAGUGGUCUAUCAAUUCCGUUGAUCUUUUCAACAAACCAGCUCCUGGAUUCAUGGAUUUUUUGAAGGUUUUUUUGUGUCUCUAUCUCCUUCAGUACUGCUCUGCUCUUAGUUAUUUCUUGCCUUCUGCUAGCUUUUGAAUGUGUUUGCUGUUGCUUCUCUAGUUCUUUUAAUUGUUAUAUUAGGGUGUCAGGUUUAGAUGUUUCCUGCUUUCUCUUGUGGGCAUUUAGUGCUAUAAAUUUCCCUCUACAAACUGUUUUAAAUGUGUCCCAGAGAUUCUGGUAUGUUGUGUCUUUGUUCUCAUUGGUUUCAAAGAACAUCUUUAUUUCUGCCUUCAUUUCAUUAUGUCCCCAGUAGUCAUUCAGGAGCAGGUUGUUCAGUUUCCAUGUAGCUGUGUGGUUUUGAGUGGGUUUCUUAAUCCUGAGUUCUCAUUUGAUUGCAGUGUGAUCCGAGAGACAGUUUGUUGUGAUUUCUGUUCUUUUACAGUUGCUGAGGAGUGCUUUACUUCCAAUUACGUGGUCAAUUUUAGAAUAAGUGCAAUGUGGUGCUGAGAAGAAUGUAUAUUCUGUUGAUUUGGGGUGGAGAGUUCUGUAGAUAUCUAUUAGAUCUGCUUGGUGCAGAGCUGAGUUCAAUUCCUGGAUAUCCUUGUGAACUUUCUAUCUCGUUGAUCUGUCUAAUGUUGACAGUGGGGUGUUAAAGUCUCCCAUUAUUAUUGUGUGGGAGUCUAAGUCUCUUUGUAGGUCUCUAAGGACUUGCUUUAUGAAUCUGGGUGCUCCUGUAUUGGGUGCAUAUAUAUUUAGGAUAGUUAGCUCUUCUUGUUGAAUUGAUCCCUUUACCAUUAUGUAAUGGCCUUCUUUGUGUCUUUUGAUCUUUGUUGGUUUAAAGUCUGUUUUAUCAAAGACUAGGAUUGCAACCCCCCCUUUUUUUCUUUUUUUUGCUUUCCAUUUGCUUGGCAGAUCUUUCUCCAUCCCGUUAUUUCAAGCCUAUGUGUGUCUCUGCAUGUGAGAUGGGUCUCCUGAAUACAGCACACUGAUGGGUCUUGACUCUUUAUCCAAUUUGCCAGUCUGUGUCUUUUAAUUGGGGCAUUUAACCCAUUUACAUUUAAAGUUAAUAUUGUUAUGUGUGAAUUUGAUCCUGUCAUUAUUAUGUUAGCUGGUUAUUUUGCCUGUUAAUUGAUGCAGUUUCUUCAUAGCAUCGAUGGUCUUUACAAUUUGGCAUGUUUUUGCAGUGGCUGGUACCAGUUGUUCCUUUCCAUGUUUAAUGUUUCCUUCAGGAGCUCUUGUAAAGCAGGCCUAGUGGUGACAAAAUCUCUCAGCAUUUGCUUGUCUGUAAAGGAUUUUAUUUCUCCUUCACUUAUGAAGCUUAGUUUGGCUGGAUAUGAAAUUCUGGGUUGAAAAUUCUUUUCUUUAAGAAUGUUGAAUAUUGGCCCCCACUCUUUUCUGGCUUGUAGGGUUUCUGCUGAGAGAUGUGCUGUUAAUCUGAUGGGCUUCCCUUUGUGGGUAACCUGACCUUUCUCUCUGGCUGCCCUUAACAUUUUUUCCUUCAUUUCAACCUUGGUGAAUCUGACAAUUACGUGUCUUGGGGUUGUUCUUCUCGAGGAGUAUCUUUGUGCUGUUCUCCGUAUUUCCUGAAUUUGAAUGUUGGCCUGCUUUGCUAGGUUGGGGAAGUUCUCCUGGAUAAUAUCCUGAAGAGCGUUUUCCAACUUGGUUCCAUUCUCCCCAUCACUUUCAGGUACACCAAUCAAACGUGGAUUUGGUCUUUUCACAUAGUCCCAUAUUUCUCAGAGGCUUUGUACAUUUCUUUUUACUUUUUUCCUCUAAUCUUGUAUGCUCACUUUAUUUCAUUAAUUUGAUCUUCAGUCGCUGAUAUCUUUUCUUCCACUUGAUCGAAUCAGCUAUUGAAGCUUGUGCAUGCAUCACGAAGUUCUCGUGCCAUGGUUUCCAGCUCCAUCAGGUCAUUUAAUAUCUUCUUUACACUGUUUAUUCUAGUUAGCCAUUUGUCUAACCUUUUUUCAAGGUUUUUAGCUUCCUUGCAAUGGAUUAGAACAUGCUCCUUUAGCUCAGAGAUGUUUGUUAUUACCGACCUUCUGAAGCCUACUUCUGUCAACUCAUCAAAGUCAUUCUCCAUCCAGCUUUGUUCUAUUGCUAGCAAGGAGCUGCGAUCCUGUGGAGGAGAAGAGGCACUCUGGUUUUAGAAUUUUCAGCUUUUCUGCUCUGGUUUCUCCCCAUCUUUGUGGUUUUAUCUACCUUUGGUCUUUGAUGUUGGUGAUCUACAGAUGGGGUUUUUGGUGUGGAUGUCCUUUUUGUUGAUGUUGAUGUUAUUCCUUUCUGUUUGUUAGUUUUCCUUCUAACAGUUAGGUCCCUCAGCUGUAGGUCUGUUGGAGUUUGCUGGAGGGCCACUCCAGACCCUGUUUGCCUGGAUAUCACCAGUGGAGGCUGCAGAACAGCAAAUAUUACAGAACAGCAAAUAUUGCUGCCUGAUCCUUCCUCUGGAAGCUUCGUCCCAGAGGGUCACCCACCUGUAUGAGUAGUCUGUCGACCCCUACUGGGAGGUGUCUCCCAGUUAGGCUACAUGGGCGUCAUGGACCCAUUCAAGGAGGCAGUCUGUCUGUUCUCAGAACUCAAACACUGUGCUGGGAGAACCACUGCUCUCUUCAGAGCUGUCAGACAGGGAUGUUUAAGUCUGAAGAAUUUUCUGCUGCCUUUUUUUCAGCUAUGCCCAGCCCACAGAGGUGGAGUUCUAUAGAGGCAGUAGGCCUUGCUGAGCUGUGGUGGGCUCCACCCAGUUCGAGCAUCCAGGCCACUUUGUUUACCUACUCAAGCCUCAGCAAUAGCGGACGCCCCUCCCUGCACCAGGCUCCAGCCUGGCAGGUGGAUCUCAGACUGCUGCGCUAGCAGUGAGCAAGGCUCCAUGGGGGUGGGACCCACUGAGCCAGGCACGGGAGAGAAUCUCCUGGUCUGCCAGCUGCUAAGACCAUGGGAAGAGCCCAGUAUUUGGGCGGGAGUGUCCUGUUUUUCCAGGUACAGUCUAUCAUGACUUCCCUUGGCUAGGAAAGGGAAAUCCCCUGACCCCUUCUGCUUCCCAUGUGAGGUGACGCCCCACCCUGCUUCGGCUCUCCCUCUGUAGGCUGCACCCACUGUCCAACCAGUCCCAAAGAGAUGAACCAGGUACCUUAGUGGGAAAUCACUCGUCUUCUGCGUCAAUCACACUGGGAGCUGCAGACCAGAGCUGUUCCUAUUCAGCCAUCUUGGAACAGACCUCCCAUGGUAGCAUCUUUAAACUGAAAUAUUGGACAGAGAGUUUCCAUUGCUGUAGUAUUUUGCUUAAUUAUUAUCUUUAUAGCAGGGAUAAUAGUUGACAAAAAGGAAGCAUGAAAGUUUUACCAUCACUGAGUCUGCUAGGCCUUUUUUGGGGUUUAGUAAUGCAGUUUUAAAUGAAACAUGCUGCUUUUGGAUUAACACCGCUAGUAAAGUAGAGGAAAAUCUACAGGUACUUAAAAAUCAAAUCAGCUGGGCAUGGCAGCUCAUGCCUGUAAUCCCAGCACUUUGGGAGGCUGAGGCAGGCAGAUGACCUGAGGUCAGGAGUUCGAGACCAGCCUGGCCAACAUGGUGAAUUCCUGUUUCUACUAAAAGUACAAAAAAUUAGCCGGGCAUGGUGGCACGCACCUGUAAUCCCAGCUACUCAGGAGGCUGAGGCAGGAGAAUUGUUUGAACUCGGGAGGCGUAGAUUGCAGUGAGCCGAGAUCACACCAUUGCACUCCAGCCUGGGCAACAACAGCAAAACUCCAUCUCAGAAAAAAAAAAAAUCAAAUCAUAAUUAUUGACAGGCUCAGGAAAAAUGACAGCUUCAGCUCUGAGUGGCUACAAUCCCUUUUUAAUAAAUUCCAGUCUUCUUUAUGGAAUUGGUUAACCCCUUUUUUAAGCACUCUCUUGCUUAUAUGUCUUGUAUUGAUAUUUGGAGCCUAUAUACUCAAUACUAUAACUCAAAUUGUUUCUUCUCACCUAGAAGCAAUCAAACUCCAAACGGUGCUGUAAACUGAAACACACAUGGAGAUGCCAUUCUUCUGAGGACCCUUAGAUCCACCCCAGGAGGAGCCCUAGCUGCUGUUCCCCCAUGUGACUCCCCUUUUCAGCAGAAAGUAGCCAGAAAGAACCAUAACCCAAAACCCUCUAACAGCAGUUAGUGUGGCAUCUCCAUAGCGGGGAAUGUUGUAGGAAGAGAGGUCCUUGGGAAGUUUUCUUUUUUUCUUUUUUUUUUGAGACAGAGUCUCACUCUGUUGCCCAGGCUGGAGUGCAGUGGCGCAAUCUCGGCUCACUGCAAGCUCCGCCUCUCAGGUUCACCCCAUUCUCCUGGCCCAGCCUCCUGAGUAGCUGGGACUACGGGUGCCCACCACCACACCCGGCUAAUUUUUUUUUUUUUUUUUUGUAUUUUUAGUAAAGACGGGGUUUCACUGUGUUAGCCAGGAUGGUCUCUAUCUCCUGACCUCGUGAUCCUCCCGCCUCGGCUUCCCAAAGUGCUGGGAUUACAGGCGUGAGCCACCGUGCCUGGCCAAGGGAAGCUUUUGUUUUUUAAAGCAUCUCUGGAAAAGUUUCUCUUAAAUCCCUGGCUCUUAGCAGCAGCCCACCAACCUUUGAUAUGCAAAUACUGACCAUUAGAAAGUGGGCCCACCCAAACAUGGAGAUUCCUGUGGCCUUCCUGCCCUUUCCCCACAUGUUCCUGGCAACAUGGCCACCUCCAAAUAUCCCCAGGAGUGUAGAACAUCAUGGCGCCCUACAUUUGCAUAUUAAAAGGCUAGGGUGGGAGGGUCAGCUUUUUUACAGGCUACGUGAAUGUCAUGCCUAGUCAAACCAAUCCCUUGAGCCCUGUGCAAAUCAAACACCACCUCCAGCCUCUGCAUAUAUACCUGGCUGGUGUCCCUGCCAGGUGGGGACCUCCUCUUUCAGCUUUGGAGCCCCCAUCCCUGUGUCUCUGUAUGGGGGAGCUUCUUUCUUCUGUCUUCUCCCUUCCUUCUUACCUAUUAAACUCUCCGCUCCUUAAAAGCAAAAAAAAAAAAAAGAAAGAAAGAAAAAACAGGGUUUCCCCAUGUUAACCAGGCCGGUCUCCAACUUGUGGGCUCAAGCUAUCCGCAUGCCAAAGCGCUGGGAUUACAGGUGUGAGCCACUAUGCCCGGCCCUGAAUUCAUGAUUUUUAAAAAUGUAUUUUCCAGGCCCAGUGCGGCGGCUCAUGCCUGUAACCUCAGCACUUUGGGAGGCCAAGGCGGGCAGAUUGCUUGAGGCCAGGAAAUUGAGACCAUCCUGGCCAAUGUGGUGAAACUCUGAGCUAAAAAUACAAAAAUUAGCCUGGCAUAGUGGGGCAUGCUUGUAAAUCCCAGCUGCUCGGGAGACUGAGGCAUGAGAAUCGGUUGAACCAGGGAGGAGGAGCUUGCAGUGAGUUGAGAUCUCACCACUGCACUCCAGCCUGGGCGACAGAUCCAGAUAAUGUCUCAAAAAAAUAAAGUGUAUUUCCCAGCUCUGUCCAUUGGGUGGAGAUAAAAUGACACUCCAGAAGCAGUAAGCAUCCAGAUCUUAACUUCAAAUUACCAUUCCCCAUGAAAAUGAAAAUAAACUCCUUGAAGAAAUGGCUGGCUCCACAUUGUGGCAGAGGAAAUUCUAGGCGAGCCUGGGACACUGUGUUGUCCCAGAAAGGAAGGAAAUGCUCAGACUAAUGAGUGUAUCUCAAAAAAGAUGAGCCAGCUUAAAGGGGUUCCCACUGGCCAAAUAUGCGAUAAUUUGGGCAUUGAUAAAAAUAAUAACUAUAAUUGAUUGCAAUUGUAUUGCAAUUGUAUUGAUAGUGCCUGUAAUCUUAGCUACUUGGGAGGCUGAGGCAGGAUAAUCGUUUGAACCCAGGAGGCAGAGGUUGCAGUGAGCCAAGAUAGCACCAUUGCACUCCAGCCUGGGUGACAAGAGCAAAACUCCAUCUUAAAAAAACAAAACAAAACAAAAACACACACGCCAAAAGAACAUAAUCAGACAUAUUCAGGAUGCAGGGUAUUAUGUAAGAUCACUGACUUGGCUUCUUCAAAAGUAAAUUUUAUCAAGAAGAACAAUAUCUUUGAACAUGUGUCCUAGGAGAAAAAAGGAAAAUGAAAAAGGAGGAGAAACAGGGAAGAAAGAAAAGGUAAGUGGAGGGCUGGGCAUGGUGGCUCACGCCUGUAAUCCUAGCACUUCGGGAGGCCAAGGCGGGUGGAUCACUUGAGGCCAGGAGUUGGAAACAAGCCUGGCCUUGAUGGGGAAACCCUGUCUCCACUGAAAAUAUAAAAAUUAGCCAGCUUGGUGGCUCAUAUCUGUAAUCCCAGCUAUUCAGGAGGCUGAGGGAGGAGAAUUGCUUGAACCUGGGAGGCAGAGUUUGCAGCAAGCCAAGAUUGUGCCACUGCACUCCAGCCUGGCCAACAGAGCAACACUGUCUCAAAAAAAAAAAAAAAAAAAAAAAAAUAGAAAAGGUAAGUGGGGACUGUUCCAGAAUAAGAGAUUUAAGAGACAUAACAACCAAAUACAAUGCAAAACUCUUGACUGGAUACUGGCCUAAAAACCAUUAAAAACAGCUCUAAAUUCACUGGGGAAAUCUGCAAUUACAAACAACCCUAGGUUUUAGUGGUUUGUAAAACAAAAGUUUAUUUCCUGUUCAAGUCACUUGUACUGCCAGUUGACUAUGGUUAUAUUCCUGAUAGCUGUUUUGAUCCCUGUGUCUUACCCCAAAACCCAGGAAAUGAUUAGAAAAGCUUCUACACCGCACAAUGUGCAUCUUGCUGCUCACAAUAUGUUUGCUGAAGCAAUAUGGCCAAGCGCUAAGAUUAUAGGGGAAGAGUGUGUCAUCUUCCCAUAGAGAAGAGGAAAGUGAAUACUUUUGAGUAAUAAUAUAAUCUAUUGCCACUCUUUAUUAGUGGAUACUAGGGAAUUUUAAAUUUUACAGGUAUGAUAAUGUAGUGUGUAAAAGACUAAUCUUAGGAGACACACUAAGAAGUAUUUAGGGAUGAGAUAGUAACAGUAAAAAAGUAGAUUGGUAGUAAAAGCAAAAGUGGCAAACUGUUAACAACUAUUGAAUCUAGUGGUGGUUUUAUGGGUAUCCAUUAUAUAUUUUUUUAACUUUUCUACAUGUUCUGGGUGGAAUUGUGACUCUCCUAAAAUAUGUUGAAGUCCUAACCCAUAUAUCUGUGGAUGUAACUUUAUGUGGAAGUAGGGUCUUUGCCCUAUUGGCUACUGUAAGCAAUUAAAAUGGGGUCAUUAGGAUGUGCCUUUAGCCCACUAUGACUGGUUUUCUUAUAAGAAAACAGAGACACACACAGAGAGGAAGAAUGGCACCUGAGGAAGGAAGCAGAGACUGGAGUGAUGCAUCUACAAGCCAAGAAAGGUCAAGGAUUGUCCUUGACAAGGCUGAGGCAGGAGAAUCCCUUGAGCUUGGUAGGUGGAGGUUGCAGUGAGCUGAGAUGGUGCCACCGCACAGAGACAGGGUAAGUCUCUGUCUGAAAAAUAAUAAUAAUAAUAAUUGAGAUCACAGAUUUGGACUGCAGAAACUGAGCUUUAAAUUAUCAAAGUGACAGGAAGAUUAGGAAAUCUGCCAAAUGUCCGUUAAGGAUGAACCAGAAUGAUUUGACAGGGCAUAUUUGAAUGAACUGAUAGAAUAAACAUAAUAGAUCAAUAUUGAACUAAGAUGAAUCAGGAAACUGGUUAUGGUAAAGAUAACUGCCAUUUUUUUGAGCACUCGCAAAUUGCUAUGUGAUGCUGCAUAAACCUUGUACAGGUCAUCCUUUUUCAUCCUCAGAAUAAUCCAUUUUACAAAUGAGAAAACAAACAGAGGCUUAUAGGGAUUAAAAGUCUGCACUUUUAGCCACAACACUCUCCUGCUCCAAUAAAAUAGUUAGCACAUGCUAUGUCCCUGGUGCUGUGUUAAGCACUCAGGAUACAUUUUCUAGACCCAUCCUCUCAGCCGCCUUGUUGAGAAGCAUUAUUCUCCUUACUUAUCAGAUACCUACAAGAGAUACAAUAACUUCCUGCAGUACUAUAUAUGGGAACCAGGGAAGCUGGGAGACUCAUCCAGAUCACUGUCUUUACAGGUGAAUUCUACCUAGAUCCUACCUACUCUCAGGGUUCUGACAGGUGGAGAAGAUAAGACGAUUAUACUGCAAGGGAAAACAUGGGGUUCCAGAAGUCAGAGGAUGUGGUUGAUGGAGGGCUUGGAAAAAGAUGUUAGGAAAAGAGAAAGAGGAAAUUAAAUGUAUGUUGCCUAGUCCCACUUGACCUUGUUCCAUUUAAUUCCACAAAUGUUCUCAUUCAUUUAACAAGUAUUUCUUGAUUUAUUUCUAUGUACCAUGCACCAAGGCUAUCACGCAACAGCAAACAAGACAGCCAUGCUGCCUGCCUGGUGGGGUACACGGUCAGUUGGGAAAGACAGACCUGAUGACAAUUGUGUGAAGUGUUGUGAAUCAGGCUGGAGGCCUGGCGCUGGGGGCAGGUGUGGCUGGGGAUAGUCCAUGAAGUUUCCCCUGAGGAAGCAGUACUUAAAUUGAGACCCAAUAAUGAGAUCAUAAGACAGCAUGCUUACAGGUUUCUGGAAUAUUUGAAUUGUAAUGUUGGGUGAAUGUUUUGCCACAACAUUUUGCUUGUAUAAGACUUUGGAAAGGAACCCUGAGUAGUGUGAAUUUCUAUAUCAUGGGUCAGCCAAUGAAUAAACACUGAUUGAGCACCUUCAAAGUGUGAGGGCACUGGAUGAUGUGUGAGGUGUCUGGGCCAACUGAGAAUCAUUUUGAUAUUUCAGAUAUCCAGGACUGAUUAAAUGGAAGAGAUAGACAAAAGACAAAAAAAAAAAAAAAGAACUUUUGUGUCCAUAGGUACUGACUAGGAGGAUAUCAUUGAUAAUAAUUAUACCUUCUGGACAUAAGAAACUUAUUCCAAACCAUAUUCUCAUACGUUAUUCAUUUUUUUCCUCUCUCAAUGAGUCUGUAGGGCAGGUAAGACAACAGUUUUCUCCAUUUUAUAAGAAAGGAAACAAAUGUUGUGGGGAUUAGUUAAGUGAUUUGCCCAAUGUCCCACAACCUUCCAAACUAGGAUUAGAACCUAGGCCUUUUGACACCAAAUCCAAGGUCCCCUCCACUCUGCCACCUUGCCUUUCCAUGCCUGUCAGGAAUGAAGUAGAUAGCUGUUGUCUUUGCAUGCCCAGCAUUUCAUUUUUCUGACUUUGGACCAGGGAAGCCCAACUGUCCUUUCCCCACCUUCAGGCCAUGUAGUCCAGGUGGAGAUAAUCCCUCCUCACCUGUUGCUCCAGGGUGAGCACACGGCCAAGACACUGUCAUGUCCUAGUGUGAACUGGACAAAGAUCCCUCUCUCCUGUCACACACAGUCCUGCACCAGGAUAAAGGCUUGGUGAAUGCAGCCUUCGCUGGAUUUCAGCCCCUGCUUGUCCUUUUUUACAAUGAACAACCUGCACAAAUAUUUGUGGCCUUCCUAAUGACUGAGACCUAGCCAGUAAGGUUCUGAGAUGUGGAUCUGACCCAAGCCAGGUCAAUGAGACAGUCUGGCCCUUUGCUAGGAUGACGAGGAAAGACAGGCUCUCUUCCCAUUAGAAUUGUUAACACUGGUGGCCAUGUUGCCUUCAAAAGGGAAGAGACCACCCAAGAUUUCAGUUUACAGAAAGGAAAGAAAAUAUGACAGAGGGAGAAAAAAACUGUGAUAACAUUGAGCACCACACUUGGAGCCAGUGCUACCCCUGGACUCAUAAGUUCCUGGAGAGGGGGACUUUGCUUAAUAUUUUUCAAAUCUGAAUCCCUUAUGCCUAGAACAGUGCCUGACACGAAGGAAGCAAUCAAUAAAUAUCUGUUGAAUAAUUGAGCUGAUAAAUUCCUUUUUUGUUUUUCUUUUUUGUAUAUGUAACUGGUUUGUUGGAAGUCUCAAUUCAUUGGGGAGUAUAAAUAAAAAGUAACUUUAUUUUUCCCAGUAACUGUUCUCUCAUGUUCUCCUUUCUUACUGGUUAGCAAUUUCCUUGGAGCAUGGCUAGGCACGGUGGCUCAUGCCUGUAAUCCCAACACUUUGGGAGGUUGAGGUGGACAAAUUGCUUGAACCCAGGAGUUUGAGACUAGCCUGCACAAUGUGGCGAGAUCCUCUCUCUCUCCCCACCUCCAAAAAAAAAGAAAACAAACAAACAAAAAAACCCAAAAACAAAAACCCAGAAUCUUGAACAGAUCCCACAGCUUCCCAGGUAGAAAAAUGUUCUAGUAUUUGUGUUCAAGAUUGGUUAGCAGGUGCGGUGGCUCAUGCCUGUAAUCUCAGCACUUUGGGAGGCAGAGGCAGGUGGAUCACUUGAGGGAGGCCAAGAGUUCAAGACCAGCCUGGCCAACAUGAUGAAACACUGUCUCCACUGAAAAUACAAAAGUUAGCUGGGUGUGGUGGCACAUGCCUCUAAUCCCAACUACUCGGGAGGCUGAGGCAGAGAAUCGCUUGAACCUGGGAGGCGGAGGCUGCAGUGAGCCGAGAUUGCACCACUGCACUGCAGCCUGGGCGACAGAGGGAAACUCUGUCCCCCCCAGCAAAAAAAAGAGAGAAAAGAAAAGAAUCCGGCUGUGGUUUGAAACAUAAACAAAGGUGAAGAAAACCUGGAGGUGGCUAGGCUACUGAGAAUUUAUUUUGUUAUUUCAGAUGCAAUACCGAUUAAAAGGAAGA
rnacentral:lncRNA from 1 species